rnacentral:piRNA from 1 species
GAAGGCCACGAAAUCUCCUAAGCCUGUUU